rnacentral:rRNA from 1 species
GGCUGUGAACUCGAAGAGUAGGGCGGGACACGUGGUAUCCUGUCUGAAUAUGGGGGGACCAUCCUCCAAGGCUAAAUACUCCUGACUGACCGAUAGUGAACCAGUACCGUGAGGGAAAGGCGAAAAGAACCCCGGCGAGGGGAGUGAAAAAGAACCUGAAACCGUGUACGUACAAGCAGUGGGAGCACCUUCGGGUGUGACUGCGUACCUUUUGUAUAAUGGGUCAGCGACUUAUAUUCUGUAGCAAGGUUAACCGUAUAGGGGAGCCGCAGGGAAACCGAGUCUUAACUGGGCGUUAAGUUGCAGGGUAUAGACCCGAAACCCGGUGAUCUAGCCAUGGGCAGGUUGAAGGUUGGGUAACACUAACUGGAGGACCGAACCGACUAAUGUUGAAAAAUUAGCGGAUGACUUGUGGCUGGGGGUGAAAGGCCAAUCAAACCGGGAGAUAGCUGGUUCUCCCCGAAAGCU